rnacentral:ncRNA from 2 species
UUAUAAACAGGAAAUGGUGUCUUCCUGAACCAACCGUUCACGCCUUUUGCGGGAUCUGAUGGCGCCUACAAAUUU